rnacentral:misc_RNA from 1 species
UAGACGAUAGCUUUUCUGGGGUUUGGAAU